UACGGAGGGUGCGAGCGUUGUCCGGAUUUAUUGGGUUUAAAGGGUGCGUAGGUGGCUUAGUAAGUCAGUGGUGAAAUACGGUUGCUCAACAAUCGAAGUGCCAUUGAUACUGCCGAGCUUGAAAUAAUUGGAGGCUGCCGGAAUGGAUGGUGUAGCGGUGAAAUGCAUAGAUAUCAUCCAGAACACCGAUUGCGAAGGCAGGUGGCUACGAUUUGUUUGCACUGAGGCACGAAAGCAUGGGGAGCAAACAGG
rnacentral:rRNA from 1 species